CGUACGUAUGUGUCAGAACCCAUGGCAACAUAUUAUAUCACAGUUGCCAUGCCAAAAGUGGAGGUGUGGGGGGGGGGUGGAAUCGAUGAGAUGGAAUAGAAUGUCCAAUACCACUGCAAACCAUUGUGUUGUUUUCGCCUCAGUAUAUAACAUUUUAAAUUCAGUUGCCCCCUGCAUACACAGAGUUGCACCUUUUCCCUUGCAGCCGGCUGGGUUUUGUAAGGGGGCGGUGUAUGGACCUAUCGGCCAACCAGACGUGGAUGUCUCUUGUGAAAUAUUCCAUCCACAGGGCAUUGAUGUUUUCCAUGACCUGACCCCUCCUCGACCCCCAACGAUGCCUGAAGUCCCCAUCUUUGUUCCCAACGUCCCCAUUAUCAUCCCCUCCUACCCCACAGCACCCCUCCUCUUCUGGAGGAGCCCCAACCACAACCCUUUGACCCCAGUACUGUUGUUGACCCUACACACAUCUUUCCCAAUCCCCCUAUCCCCAACCCCAACCCUUCGUCUUCCAGUGAGUCUUUGGAGUCUCAGGAGACUCCAGUCUCUCCAGGAGUUCCAGACUCUUCCUCCGAGGAGCUGGGUGCUGGUGUGGCUCGACCGCCCUUCAACUUCCGCUACCGGCCCCUGCGCAGACGGAGGCAGGCCCUGGUGACAGCCAAGCCCCCUCACACCCCUGUCUUUCUGGCUGAGUUCCCCAGCUCGCCCUCUCCCUUCCGCUCCUGCCCUGGUCCUUCUCGCUACACCACUGUGUGACCCAGACUGGGAUAGAGCCUCAUUCAGUAGGGGAACUAACUUUAAAGUUAGGAGACUGGUAUAAAUUGUAGACUUUAAAGUUAGGAGACUGGUAUAAAUUGUAGAGUUAAAGUUAGAUAAAAAAAAAUAGAUAGAUAGAAAAAUAGAGCUUUUUGGUCUAAACUCCA